rnacentral:tRNA from 1 species
ACUUAAAUAGUUUAAUUAAAAUAUUGAUUUGUGGUGUCAAUGAUGUAAUUUUUUACUUUAAGUU